rnacentral:rRNA from 1 species
GCGGUAGCGCGGUGGUCCCACCUGACCCCAUGCCGAACUCAGAAGUGAAACGCCGUAGCGCCGAUGGUAGUGUGGGGUCUCCCCAUGUGAGAGUAGGGAACUGCC